rnacentral:rRNA from 1 species
AACUCGGCAAAAUGACCCCGUAACUGAGGGAUAAGGGGUGCCACCAUCAGGUGGCCGCAGAGAAUAGGCCCAAGCGACUGUUUACCAAAAACAUAGGUUUCUGCUAAGUCGCAAGACGAUGUAUAGGGGCUGACGCCUGCCCGGUGCUGGAAGGUUAAGGGGAUCUGUUAGAGCAAUCGAAGCAGUGAACUUAAGCCCCAGUAAACGGCGGCCGUAACUAUA